rnacentral:rRNA from 1 species
UACGGGGGGAGCAAGCGUUGUUCGGAUUUACUGGGCGUAAAGGGCGCGUAGGCGGCGUGACAAGUCACUUGUGAAAUCUCCGGGCUUAACUCGGAACGGUCAAGUGAUACUGUCGUGCUAGAGUACAGAAGGGGCAACUGGAAUUCUCGGUGUAGCGGUGAAAUGCGUAGAUAUCGAGAGGAACACCUGCGGCGAAGGCGGGUUGUUGGGCUGAUACUGACGCUGAGGCGCGAAGGCGUGGGGAGCGAACGGG